GAACGGCGGUUAUAUUUGUCCGUGGACCCAAGACUUCGUUGACGGGCAAAUAUGUCAGAUUUUCUUGUUUUUUAUUUGUGGCAUCUUAUUGUAAGACCGUGACAUAUUUUGCCGUUUUCUCUAGGGAACCCUGCAACAAGGACUGUAGUGUGAAUAGCGUGCUGCGCUGCUCUCGCCAACUGAAAAGAACUCUGGUGUGCUGUAAAUGCCGACUGCACAAUAUGUGACUGGCCCGCGGCUGCUUUGAAGUUUGUGCGCUGUGGAGCUUGAAGCACUUCUCGGAAUUUCAGCACACUCGCAUUUAUU